UACGUAGGGUGCGAGCGUUAAUCGGAAUUACUGGGCGUAAAGCGUGCGCAGGCGGCUUUGCAAGACAGAUGUGAAAUCCCCGGGCUCAACCUGGGAACUGCAUUUGUGACUGCAAGGCUAGAGUACGGCAGAGGGGGAUGGAAUUCCGCGUGUAGCAGUGAAAUGCGUAGAUAUGCGGAGGAACACCAAUGGCGAAGGCAAUCCCCUGGGCCUGUACUGACGCUCAUGCACGAAAGCGUGGGGAGCAAGCAGG
rnacentral:rRNA from 1 species